GCUCCCAUCCCUCGCUCCUCCCGCCGCUCCCUCUCCUCUUCCUCCCGCCCCGCCUCUCUCUCUCCGUCCAAACCCUCCCUAACCCACGUCCGCCUCCCUGCCCCGCCACCAGCCGCAGCCACCGCCGCCGCCGCUCGCCGCGUCUCCCUCCAAACGCUCGCUGCGCCCGCCUCCUUGCCCCACGCCGCCGUCAUCUCCGCCGACGCCCGCCUCCUCCGCCGCCUCCUCUCCACCGCCGCUGAGGUGGCACGGGAGGUGGCGCCCCCCGCGUCGUGGGCGUUGGUGCAGCCGCAGGUGGGGGCGGCGGCGUGGACGGAAUUGGGGCAGGGGCGUUCUUCGUGGCCGCAUCAGGCGUGGGCGCUGCCACAGGCGGAGCAGCAACAACAGUGAGGCUGUACACAGCGGAAGGGGAACAGGCGGGGUACACGACCAAGUGGGAGGAGCUCCGUCCGGUUUCGCAGCACCUUCUCCUGCAAAUCGAGGAGAAGAUAAGGGAUGAGAGGCAUGUGUGUGAGCAAGUGGAACAAUAACUGGAUGCUCGUCAGAUUACCCAGGAUAUCAGAUUUAUGAGCUUCUGUUACUUGAUGCAAUUUCAAAAAGUGUCGGUAAGGUAAAAAUGAUCUAGAAGCUUAUUGCAUUCGAAAGUAGUUAUUGCAAGAAGAAGCAUGAGACACUAGCAGGUAUAUAAUGUCUAUUCUGCUUUCUAUUUGUUUUUUAGGUUCAGAUUACAAAUUCUUGCAUGAUGUAGAAGUUUCAACCGAAUGGUGCACCCUCAAAAUUGUGUUUUGUUAUGCACGAUGCAAGCUUCAGCAGCACCACACCUAGAUUUUGAAUGGCUCAUAGCAGACUAUAUAUGGCUAACCUAUUGUAUGGCAUUCUUAUUUUUUGUCUAUAUGCAUUACUUCUAGAUUUACUUCUAUUGUUGCGCCAUCACAUGGAUCAAACACACUAAAAUAUGAUGUUGAUCUUGCACAAAAGGAAGAACGGUGGUGUCACAUAAGCAUGGCUCGACCUAGCCUUGAUCAUGGUAGCCUCUUAGGUGUUCCUACUUGCUACUAUCCAUGCUACCUGAAAACCCAGCUUAUUUCACCACCAGCUCCAAAGCAACGACAGAAUGUAGGCAUCACCGUAUAUAAUUUUAUUGCAUAUUGCUCAACUCCUCCUCUAUGAAUUUGCUUACAAGCGUGUGUGACUACACUUGCUAUGCACAUGUACUAUAGACAAGUCGGCAGGACCUCACAUCACAACACCUAAGCGAGUCUGGCAAGGCUUGCUCGCCAUGGCCUACCGCGUCGGCGAGACGGGGCGAGCACGUGAUCACCAUCAACAGGUCCUUUGUCACAACACCCUAGCAAGCGAGAUGUUUAGACAAAGAUAUAUGAUAUAGUACUAUCAACAUAUGUCAUAGACGAACAGUAUAUAUCCUUCUCUUCACAAGCACAAGACUUGAUUUUGAUAAAUUGUGUUACCAUUUCUGCGGCAUCAACAUUUGGGAGGACACACCAUCUGAAUCCUCUAUAAUAACUGAACCAUUACUAUUACAAGCAACCUCCUACAUCUUCCUUCCAAAAAUUCAGAUGAUGGUUUAGUUGUUUAUAUACAUGUGCCAUCUCUUAUGUCUGAAAUAUAUAUUCUACUACCGGGCUGGCUGGCACCUGGCAGGCUGCACUUCCUAUCUACUUGUGACGCCCCAUCAUGUUGGUUUACAUUUGGAGCAAAAAUGCUGCUGAGCAUUUGGUGUGACUGAUUGCACUAUCCAUUUAGUGUUGUCUGGACAUAGCUAUGUAGUGGACACAAUUAUUUAGAAAAAUGUCAAACCUUAACAUUUACAGGAAGCUUUACAUAUGUUUGGAUUAUGGGUCCGCUGUAGGUUUGCAUAGAUAAAUAAAUAGCACUCUUGCUAUCAAAGUGUGUGUUUCAUGGGCCUUUCUUUGUUUGAGGGACAUAACUCAAUUUUUGUAUCAGCCAUACUUCUGCUAUAUAUAUGGAAACAAUCAGUGUCUAUUUCUAUUUUAUCUGAACUGAGACAAAAUUUACUAUAUGUAAACAAUCAUUGGUUCUUUCUUUUUUAUCUAAACUGAGAAAUAACUCUAAUCAAUUGUUUUUUUAUUUAAUGUCUAAGUAUCUUCCUUACCCAAAACUUGUGCCAAAACUGGUAUUUCUUUCAUGUGUGCCUUGUGCCAUAUAUUAUCCAACCCCCUCUACUUCUGUACAGUUUUUUGUGGCGAAAGAUUACUGGCACCAUGUGAAUCUUAAGCUCCACCAUUUCCUAAUUUUUCUCUCAUGGUCGCCCUCUAGGUUUCCUGGCAAGGCGAUGGUGUAUGAACCCUGUGCGCCUGCCUAGCUGUAUUGCGGCUCGAGGAUGCGGCGGAGGUGGCACAUGAGCAGAUGAAAGAGGAAUAAUUGAAGCCCCAAUGCCUCCCACAUUCUUGCUCCCUGAUAAUGGAAGUACUAGGUUUCAAACUCCUUCCCCUUCCCUGAUAUUUACAAUUCCUUUUCGGUUAGCCAUCACCGAUGUUGACUGUUGACUGAAAUAUUUAGUUCUGUUGCUGGACACCUAAUAUCUGCACACUGUGUGUCCGCCAGCUGAGCGGCAAGCCGGAGCUGCAAGUCGCUGAACAUGGUCGUGCUACUGGCAACUCACUUGGGCAUGUAGUGGGGAUGGCUUAUGUUCAAGCACCUAAUGGAAUGUAUGCUUUUCCUUGAUGCUCCGUUCCUAAGAAAUUGCAUGAAGCUGGUGUCUGGCACCUUUUUUUUAGCUGCAAUAUUCAUUUGGAUCUCUCAGCAACAUAUCUUUUCUACUUAAUACUCUACAUGCAUAAUGUUACUGACUUGUUUCCAGUCUAUCUGAAUUUUGUAUAGCUUUUAGAGUGCCUAUUCUCAUGAGCUAAUUCUGAUAUUUUUUGUAGAGCUUCCAUAUUAUCAUUAGGAAGAAUAAGGCUGUCAAGUAUAGCUUUUAGAGUGCCUAUUCUCAUUAGGAAGCAUUAGCUUUGUCUCAGAAGUUCUCUGUAAUGAUCAGCUAUUAGCUAUCAUCGAUGUUUCCAGAGAAUUGUUUCCAAUUGUCUGUCAUCUCAAAUUCUCAAUUGUAUUUAUGAGCAGAUAAAACAUCUACUGUAA